AGCCCCGUAGUGUAGAGGUCAAUCAUGCGAGGCUCUGGACCUCGCGACGGCAGUUCGAAUCUGCCCGGGGCUACCA
rnacentral:tRNA from 1 species